UCAAACUUGGUCAUUUAGAGGAAGUAAAAGUCGUAACAAGGUCUCCGUUGGUGAACCAGCGGAGGGAUCAUUACAAGAGUCGCGAGACUCCAACCCACCGUGAACAUACCGUACGUUGCCUCGGCGGGCGGCCCCAGGGCGGGGCCCCCGGCCUGCCUCGCAGGUGCCCGCCGAGGUCACUUAGGACUCUAUUCUUACCGUGUCCUCUGAGCUACGUGUUUAAUAAAGUCAAAACUUUCAACAACGGAUCUCUUGGUUCUGGCAUCGAUGAAGAACGCAGC
rnacentral:misc_RNA from 1 species